rnacentral:rRNA from 1 species
UACGGAAGGCAGCAGUGGGGAAUAUUGCACAAUGGGCGCAAGCCUGAUGCAGCCAUGCCGCGUGUAUGAAAAAGGCCUUCGGGUUGUAAAGUACUUUCAGUCGUGAGGAAGGUGUUAAGGUUAAUAACCUUAGCAAUUGACGUUAGCGACAGAAGAAGCACCGGCUAACUCCGUGCCAGCAGCCGCGGUAAUACGGAGGGUGCGAGCGUUAAUCGGAAUUACUGGGCGUAAAGGGCACGCAGGCGGUUAAUUAAGUUGGAUGUGAAAUCUCGGGCUUAACCUGGGAAUGGCAUUCAAGACUGGUUAGCUAGAGUCUUGUAGAGGGGGUAGAAUUCCAUGUGUAGCGGUGAAAUGCGUAGAGAUGUGGAGGAAUACCGGUGGCGAAGGCGGCCCCUGGACAAAGGCUGACGCUCAUGUGCGAAAGCGUGGGGAGCAAAC